rnacentral:rRNA from 1 species
GGCGCACGGGUGAGUAUCGCGUUUGCAACCUACCCCUGACCGGGGGAUAGCCCGGAGAAAUUCGGAUUAACACCCCAUAACACCUUAAGAAGGCAUCUUUUUUUGGUUAAAACUCCGGUGGUCAGAGAUGGGCAUGCGUACCAUUAGCUAGUUGGUGAGGUAACGGCUCACCAAGGCUACGAUGGUUAGGGGGUCUGAGAGGAUGAUCCCCCACACUGGUACUGAGACACGGACCAGACUCCUACGGGAGGCAGCAGUGAGGAAUAUUGGGCAAUGGGCGCAAGCCUGACCCAGCCAUGCCGCGUGCAGGAUGAAGGCGCUAUGCGUUGUAAACUGCUUUUGUUCGGGAAGAAAUCCAUACUACGUGUAGGUGGUUGACGGUACCGAAUGAAUAAGCAUCGGCUAACUCCGUGCCAGCAGCCGCGGUAAUACGGAGGAUGCAAGCGUUAUCCGGAUUCAUUGGGUUUAAAGGGUGCGUAGGCGGAAUAUUAAGUCAGCGAUGAAAUCCUGCAGCUUAACUGUAGAACUGUCAUUGAUACUGGUAUUCUUGAAUGC